CCCACCGUGCAGCCUAGGCUCUUGCAGGAAAAGAUCAAAUCUGCCGACCGAGAACUUCCUGACCGCUGCCCAUGUGGAACCCAGGCCACAAAAAUUUCUCAGCAGGGAAGUGGAAGAAACAGAAGUCAACAGUCACUGGUCACAGAGGACAGAUUCUCCCACAAGGAAAAAGGUCUGCAAACCCCACGUCUUUUCCAGCAAGCACCGCGAUUGUAUCCACCAGCGAGUAAGAAAUGCAUCCCAACCCUGUUCUAAACUCCCGCAAACAACAGCAACAAUCAGUUCCAAGUGUGAGGCUUCACACCGCGGGCUCUUAAUUCCUGCUCGCUGCUGGCCUACUGUGAUGUCUCAUCGGACCGAGCCCUCUGAUUAACAUAACACCUCCCCCCAACACCCGCACAGCACGUCUGCAGAGUGCCGGCAGGUUCAGAAUAAUUGCAGCAGCUAUUUUUAAAGUGCUGUAAUUAAAAAUAGUCUUGCAGUAGGACUGCUGAUUGUCCUAAUGCUUUUCCCUUUCAGACACUCAUCAAUAUUGUCGUUUGGAUUACCUACGCCGUGCAUUCAUGAUUGUAAUAUUUGAAAUAUCUGAUUUUUGUGAUUUGGCAGUCAUCGGGCACUGGGAUAAAGACUUUAAAACCAUCAUCUUAGAAAGUUUUGAUUUUUCACAUGAACCCUAGGAGGCUGCGGAUAAGAAAAAUCGAUGCAUGGAGGAUAGGUAACUAACCUAGCAUGACAGCUACACUCCGAUUUCUCUGAUUCCGCGACCACGUGUGUGCCCUUGCUGAAAAGAGACUUCUGUUUAUAACGAGGCAAACUGCAGCUGAAAUAAUGUUUAGAUCUCAAGGACACAACGUACACCUUUCGACAGAAUUUUAUCGUAAAUAAAGGCAAAUAAUUACACGUGCGUCUAUCAGCGGUCUGGGUCAGUGUUUGUGAUAAUAAAAAUAGAUUAUCUAGACAGUUAACGAGGACUUGCUACGUGCCACCUUCCUUAAUACAUGUGCAGUAGAAACCACGGUCAAUGUUUCGUAAAGAAGAAAAUCUAUGUGAUCCUGGUUAGUCACUUACACCCUCCACGCCUGUCGUUUGAUCCCCGGUCAGCGUGACGGGAAGAAUGAGACUCUGUCGGAGCCACGCUGGGCCGUGCAGUGAGGGUGACAAGGCGUGUUCCUUCCUGGUUCCCCCUCAGUUCCAAGCCAGACUGAGUGUUCACUCUUUUCACAAAACAUCUCUGUGUGGAAGCUGACAGGUGUGCCCGGCGGAAUCCUACAGAAGCCAUGGCCACCCCUGAAGGUUCUGUCCCCCAGGUCACCCAACCAAAAACCCCAACCCACAUCCGGCCGGGAGGGGCUUUGCAAAAGCAAAGUCGCAAGUCAGGUGAGCUUUGGAUGCUGGGAGCAGGUGGGUGGGCGUGGCCUGGCGGCAGGUGUCUCCCAGAGGCAGAGAGGUUUCUCUGGCGGGCAGCAGGUGUGGGGACAGGGAGCCAGCAAAGAAACGGGAGCUCAGUCCCACAACCACAAGGAACGGAGUUCUGCCGGCAGCUGAGUGAGUCUGGGAGCGGAUUUUCCCUAGAGCUGCCAGGACAGAGACCCCCCUGGCCAACACCUGGAUUUUGUGACACCCCACGCAGGUAACUCAGCUGAACUCACCCAGAGUUCUGACCCGUACAACCAAGAAGAGCUCACAAAGGGAUAUCAUUCGAAGCUGCCAAUUUUGUGAUAAUUUGUUACACGGCGAUGGAAAACAAAUAGAACCAGAGUAAGUGUCACGAGAGUCUUCAACCAUAAUGGAUUUUUGCAUUCAGUAGUUGCAACAUUAAUUUAGAACUAACUCUUCAGAAGCUAACGUAUUACAAUGCUAUACCCUGUGAUUCUAAUAUAAUUAGGGAUAAACAGCCAGUAGCCUGAACAUGAUGCUUAGCUAUAGGGUCUCUAGAAGUUUCAGUCUAAUCGGAUUUGUGUUGUGACUGCUCAGACUACCUCUUACACUGAUUUCUCAAAGACUUGAGUCCAAAGUGUGCAGGAUUGAGCACAAGGCCAGAGUUUGUUCUUUCCAUGGAGUGGGAUCUUUUUUUUUUUUAAGUUAUCUGCUGCUAAAUAGGACAGUGGGUCUCCAUAAAAAAUAAAAAUUUGGGGAGCUACGGCUUCCUAUCAGUAUCGUGAAAUCUUCCCGUUGUCAAUUCAUUGAACUCUCAUGUUGUCCAUGUUGCAUUCUAGUUCUUAAUAAUGCAGUCCCACUUUACAGUAAAAUAAUU